AGAGUUUGAUCCUGGCUCAGGAUGAACGCUGGCGGCGUGCUUAACACAUGCAAGUCGAACGAUUAACCCGCCCUCGGGCGGUUAUAGAGUGGCGAACGGGUGAGUAACACGUGACCAACCUGCCCCCUUCACCGGGAUAACCCAGGGAAACCUGCGCUAAUACCGGAUACUCCGCAUGGGCCGCAUGGCCCUUGCGGGAAAGCUCCGGCGGAAGGGGAUGGGGUCGCGGCCCAUUAGGUAGUUGGCGGGGUAACGGCCCACCAAGCCCGCGAUGGGUAGCCGGGUUGAGAGACCGAUCGGCCACAUUGGGACUGAGAUACGGCCCAGACUCCUACGGGAGGCAGCAGUGGGGAAUUUUGCGCAAUGGGGGAAACCCUGACGCAGCAACGCCGCGUGCGGGACGAAGGCCUUCGGGUUGUAAACCGCUUUCAGCAGGGAAUAUCGUGAAGGUACCUGCAGAAGAAGCUCCGGCUAACUACGUGCCAGCAGCCGCGGUAAUACGUAGGGAGCGAGCGUUAUCCGGAUUCAUUGGGCGUAAAGCGCGCGUAGGCGGCCCGUCAAGCGGGGUUUCAAAUCCAGGGGCUCAACCUCUGGCCGGACCCCGAACUGGCGGGCUCGAGUGCGGUAGAGGAAGGUGGAAUUCCCAGUGUAGCGGUGAAAUGCGCAGAUAUUGGGAAGAACACCGAUGGCGAAGGCAGCCUUCUGGGCCGCCACUGACGCUGAGGCGCGAAAGCUAGGGGAGCGAACAGGAUUAGAUACCCUGGUAGUCCUAGCCGUAAACGAUGGGCACUAGGUGUGGGGGAGCAUCUCCUCCGUGCCGCAGCCAACGCAUUAAGUGCCCCGCCUGGGGAGUACGGCCGCAAGGCUAAAACUCAAAGGAAUUGACGGGGGCCC
rnacentral:rRNA from 1 species